AGCAGCCGCGGUAAUUCCAGCUCCAAUAGCGUAUAUUAAAGUUGUUGCAGUUAAAAAGCUCGUAGUUGAAUUUUGGGUUUGGCCAAUUGGUCCGUUCUUGUAACGAGUACUGGUUGGUUGGGCCUCACCGCCUGGUGAUACGUAAUGUCCUUUAUUGGGUGUUGCGAGUAGCCAGGACCUUUACCUUGAAAAAUUAGAGUGUUUAAAGCAGGCUUAUGCCGGAAUACAUUAGCAUGGAAUAAUAGAAUAGGACGAUGAUUCUAUUUUGUUGGUUUCUAGGAGCAUCGUAAUGAUUAAUAGGGAUAGUUGGGGGCAUUAGUAUUCAAUUGUCAGAGGUGAAAUUCUUGGAUUUAUUGAAGACUAACUACUGCGAAAGCAUUUGCCAAGGAUGUUUUCAUUAAUCAAGAACGAAAGUUAGGGGAUCGAAGACGAUCAGAUACCGUCGUAGUCUUAACCAUAAACUAUGCCGACUAGGGAUCGGGCGAUGU
rnacentral:rRNA from 1 species